rnacentral:rRNA from 1 species
UACGUAGGGUGCAAGCGUUAAUCGGAAUUACUGGGCGUAAAGCGUGCGCAGGUGGCUAUACAAGACAGAUGUGAAAUACCCGAGCUCAACUUGGGAACUGCAUUUGUGACUGUAUGGCUAGAGUAGGGUAGAGGGGGAUGGAAUUCCGCGUGUAGCAGUGAAAUGCGUAGAUAUGCGGAGGAACACCGAUGGCGAAGGCAAUUCCCUGGACCUAUACUGACACUCAUGCACGAAAGCGUGGGGAGCAAACAGG